CGGACUCGUUAGAUCACCGAAGUCAAGCAUCAUUGGGCGCGGCCAGUACUUGGGUGGGUGACCACCUGGGAACACCGCGUGCCGUU
rnacentral:rRNA from 1 species